GGUGGAGCGUUGUUCCGGNAUUUUGGGCGUAAAGCGCGCGCAGGCGGUUCCUUAAGUCUGAUGUGAAAGCCCCCGGCUCAACCGGGGAGGGUCAUUGGAAACUGGGGAACUUGAGUGCAGAAGAGAAGAGUGGAAUUCCACGUGUAGCGGUGAAAUGCNUANAGAUGUGAAGGAUCNCCAUUGNCAA
rnacentral:rRNA from 1 species